GCUGACACACCUGUUCCCUUAUGAUCAACGAAGUUAAGCAAUGCCGGGCCUGGUCAGUACCUAGAUGGGUGACCACUUGGAAAUACCAGGUGC